UACUGCAAGAAAUCCAGUACGACCCUUCUUAGAGUGUCAAAAAUACAACACAGAGAGAUUACCAUAUUGUAAGUUUUUCAUGUGGGCAGAUAGUAAUCAAGAAUUUAAGGCCCAACUUAGAGAAAAAAAUAAUGAAUUGUUAAGGAAGGAGAAAGAGCUCGAGCAGAUACUCGACGAUGUUGAAAAGACGAAGACUGAGCUCCGUAAGAGAGCGGAUGAAAUCAAGAAGAGAGAGAUGGUGGUAACCAAUAGAGAGAUGGUGCUCUUGAAGCGCGAAACUGAAAUAAAGCGUUCACACACAAUACUUCGGGUGUAUUGAACUUUUUCAUUUGUAGUUGUGUGUUGGUUGGUAGUAUGUAAGUAAUUGGUGCUAACUUGUAACUUGUAUUUAGUAUGUAAGUUGUAACUUCUUAGAUUGGUGCUAACUUGUAACUUGUAAAAUUCCAGGACUUUUUGUAUAUAUUAACCUGUAAAUUUUAUUGACUGCAUG